GGCGCAGGCGGAGAUGUAAGCCAGACGUGAAAUCCCGAAGCUCAACUUCGGAACUGCAUUUGGAACUACAUCCCUUGAGGAUAGGCGGAGAGAACGGAAUUCCACGUGUAGCGGUGAAAUGCGUAGAUAUGUGGAAGAACACCCGUGGCGAAGGCGGUUCUCUAGCUUAUUCCUGACGCUCAAGCCCGAAAGCGAGGGGAGCGAACA
rnacentral:rRNA from 1 species